rnacentral:rRNA from 1 species
UACAGAGGGGGCAAGCGUUGUUCGGAAUUACUGGGCGUAAAGGGCGCGUAGGCGGCCUUCUAAGUCGAACGUGAAAUCCCCGGGCUCAACCCGGGAACUGCGUCCGAUACUGGAAGGCUUGAAUCCGGGAGAGGGAUGCGGAAUUCCAGGUGUAGCGGUGAAAUGCGUAGAUAUCUGGAGGAACACCGGUGGCGAAGGCGACAUCCUGGACCGGUAUUGACGCUGAGGCGCGAAAGCCAGGGGAGCAAACGGG